UACAGAGGUGGCAAGCGUUGUUCGGAUUUACUGGGCGUAAAGGGUGCGUAGGUGGUUCAGUGUGUCGGGUGUUAAAUUUCGCCGCUUAACGGCGAACAGUCGCUCGAAACUGCUGAACUAGAGUGCAGGAGAGGAAAGCGGAAUUCUUGGUGUAGCGGUGGAAUGCGUUGAUAUCAAGAGGAACACCAGUGGCGAAGGCGGCUUUCUGGAAUGCAACUGACACUUAGGCACGAAAGUUGGGGUAG
rnacentral:rRNA from 1 species